rnacentral:rRNA from 1 species
UACGUAGGGGGCAAGCGUUGUCCGGAUUUAUUGGGCGUAAAGAGCGUGUAGGCGGCUUUGCAAGUCCGUUGUGAAAACUCGAGGCUCAACCUCGAGACGCCGGUGGAAACUGCAAAGCUAGAGUCCGGAAGAGGAGAGUGGAAUUCCUGGUGUAGCGGUGAAAUGCGCAGAUAUCAGGAAGAACACCCGUGGCGAAGGCGGCUCUCUGGGCCGGUACUGACGCUGAGGAGCGAAAGCGUGGGGAGCAAACAGG